GCGGACGUGGCGAAAUUGGUAGACGCACUGGAUUUAGGUUCCAGCGGGCUACCGUGGGAGUUCGAGUCUCCCCGUUCGCACCA
rnacentral:tRNA from 1 species